AGGGCUAUAGAUUAGUGGUAGAUCACUUGCCUGGAAUGCAAGACCUGGGUUUGAUCCCUAGCACCA
rnacentral:tRNA from 1 species